rnacentral:rRNA from 1 species
ACUCCUACGGGAGGCAGCAUUAGGGAAUCUUCCACAAUGGGCGCAAGCCUGAUGGAGCAACACCGCGUGAGUGAAGAAGGGUUUCGGCUCGUAAAGCUCUGUUGUUAAAGAAGAACACGUAUGAGAGUAACUGUUCAUACGUUGACGGUAUUUAACCAGAAAGUCACGGCUAACUACGUGCCAGCAGCCGCGGUAAUACGUAGGUGGCAAGCGUUAUCCGGAUUUAUUGGGCGUAAAGAGAGUGCAGGCGGUUUUCUAAGUCUGAUGUGAAAGCCUUCGGCUUAACCGGAGAAGUGCAUCGGAAACUGGAUAACUUGAGUGCAGAAGAGGUAGUGGAACUCCAUGUGUAGCGGUGGAAUGCGUAGAUAUAUGGAAGAACACCAGUGGCGAAGGCGGCUACCUGGUCUGCAACUGACGCUGAGACUCGAAAGCAUGGGUAGCGAACAGGAUUAGAUACCCCGUGUAGGAUAGCG